rnacentral:rRNA from 1 species
UACCCCGGUAUCCAGUGCAGGUUGGACGGUACAGGAAGAGCUUGCUGCUUUGCUGACGAGUGGCGGACGGGUGAGUAAUGUCUGGGAAACUGCCUGAUGGAGGGGGAUAACUACUGGAAACCUUUGCUAAUACCGCAUAACGUCGCAAGACCAAAGAGGGGGACCUUCGGGCCUCUUGCCAUCGUAUGUGCCCAGAUUUUUUUA